rnacentral:rRNA from 1 species
UACGUAGGGUGCGAGCGUUAAUCGGAAUUACUGGGCGUAAAGCGUGCGCAGGCGGCCGCGCAAGUCGAGUGUGAAAGCCCCGAGCUUAACUUGGGAACUGCGCUCGAAACUACUUGGCUAGAGUGUGGCAGAGGGAGGUGGAAUUCCACGUGUAGCGGUGAAAUGCGUAGAGAUGUGGAGGAACACCGAUGGCGAAGGCAGCCUCCUGGGCCAACACUGACGCUCAUGCACGAAAGCGUGGGGAGCAAACAGG